GACGAACGCUGGCGGCGUGCUUAACACAUGCAAGUCGAACGGUAAGGCCCUUCGGGGUACACGAGUGGCGAACGGGUGAGUAACACGUGGGUGAUCUGCCCUGCACUUUGGGAUAAGCCUGGGAAACUGGGUCUAAUACCGGAUAGGACCACGGCCUGCAUGGGUUGUGGUGGAAAGCUUUUGCGGUGUGGGAUGGGCCCGCGGCCUAUCAGCUUGUUGGUGGGGUGAUGGCCUACCAAGGCGACGACGGGUAGCCGGCCUGGGAGGGUGUCCGGCCACACUGGGACUGAGAUAAGGCCCAGACUCCUACGGGAGGCAGCAGUGGGGAAUAUUGCACAAUGGGCGCAAGCCUGAUGCAGCGACGCCGCGUGGGGGAUGACGGCCUUCGGGUUGUAAACCUCUGUCACCAGGGACGAAGCGCAAGUGACGGUACCUGGAGAAGAAGCACCGGCCAACUACGUGCCAGCCGCCGCGGUAA
rnacentral:rRNA from 1 species